GAUGAACGCUAGCGGCAGGCUUAAUACAUGCAAGUCGUGGGGCAGCAGGGUUGUAGCAAUACAAUCGCUGGCGACCGGCAAACGGGUGCGUAACACGUACGCAACCUUCCCGUUACUGUGGCAUAGCCCAGGGAAACUUGGAUUAAUACCACAUAUUAUAUUGAGGGGGCAUCCCUUUGAUAUCAAAGCUUCGGCGGUAACGGAUGGGCGUGCGGUUGAUUAGGUAGUUGGCGGGGUAACGGCCCACCAAGCCUACGAUCAAUAGCUGAUGUGAGAGCAUGAUCAGCCACACGGGCACUGAGACACGGGCCCGACUCCUACGGGAGGCAGCAGUAAGGAAUAUUGGGCAAUGGACGAAAGUCUGACCCAGCCAUGCCGCGUGAAGGAUUAAGGUCCUCUGGAUUGUAAACUUCUUUUCUCUGGGGCGAAAACCAGCUAUUCUUAGCUAUUUGACAGUACCAGAGGAAUAAGCACCGGCUAACUUCGUGCCAGCCGCCGCGGUAAAAC
rnacentral:rRNA from 1 species